rnacentral:rRNA from 1 species
GUGGGGAAUAUUGCGCAAUGGGCGAAAGCCUGACGCAGCGACGCCGCGUGAGGGAUGAAGGUUUUCGGAUCGUAAACCUCUGUCAGAAGGGAAGAAACUACGUUGUGCUAAUCAGCAGCGUACUGACGGUACCUUCAAAGGAAGCACCGGCUAACUCCGUGCCAGCAGCCGCGGUAAUACGGAGGGUGCAAGCGUUAAUCGGAAUUACUGGGCGUAAAGCGCACGUAGGCUGUAGUGUAAGUCAGGGGUGAAAUCCCACGGCUCAACCGUGGAACUGCCUUUGAUACUGCACAACUUGAAUCCGGGAGAGGGUGGCGGAAUUCCAGGUGUAGGAGUGAAAUCCGUAGAUAUCUGGAGGAACAUCAGUGGCGAAGGCGGCCACCUGGACAGGUAUUGACGCUGAGGCGCGAAAGCGUGGGGAGCAAACAGGAUUAGAAACCCCGGUAGUCC